GAUGAACGCUGGCGGCGUGCCUAAUACAUGCAAGUCGAGCGAACGGACGAGAAGCUUGCUUCUCUGAUGUUAGCGGCGGACGGGUGAGUAACACGUGGAUAACCUACCUAUAAGACUGGGAUAACUUCGGGAAACCGGAGCUAAUACCGGAUAAUAUUUUGAACCGCAUGGUUCAAAAGUGAAAGACGGUCUUGCUGUCACUUAUAGAUGGAUCCGCGCUGCAUUAGCUAGUUGGUAAGGUAACGGCUUACCAAGGCAACGAUGCAUAGCCGACCUGAGAGGGUGAUCGGCCACACUGGAACUGAGACACGGUCCAGACUCCUACGGGAGGCAGCAGUAGGGAAUCUUCCGCAAUGGGCGAAAGCCUGACGGAGCAACGCCGCGUGAGUGAUGAAGGUCUUCGGAUCGUAAAACUCUGUUAUUAGGGAAGAACAUAUGUGUAAGUAACUGUGCACAUCUUGACGGUACCUAAUCAGAAAGCCACGGCUAACUACGUGCCAGCAGCCGCGGUAAUACGUAGGUGGCAAGCGUUAUCCGGAAUUAUUGGGCGUAAAGCGCGCGUAGGCGGUUUUUUAAGUCUGAUGUGAAAGCCCACGGCUCAACCCGUGGAGGGUCAUUGGAAACUGGAAAACUUGAGUGCAGAAGAGGGAAAGUGGAAUUCCAUGUGUAGCGGUGAAAUGCGCAGAGAUAUGGAGGAACACCAGUGGCGAAGGCGACUUUCUGGUCUGUAACUGACGCUGAUGUGCGAAAGCGUGGGGAUCAAACAGGAUUAGAUACCCUGGUAGUCCACGCCGUAAACGAUGAGUGCUAAGUGUUAGGGGGUUUCCGCCCCUUAGUGCUGCAGCUAACGCAUUAAGCACUCCGCCUGGGGAGUACGACCGCAAGGUUGAAACUCAAAGGAAUUGACGGGGACCCGCACAAGCGGUGGAGCAUGUGGUUUAAUUCGAAGCAACGCGAAGAACCUUACCAAAUCUUGACAUCCUUUGACAACUCUAGAGAUAGAGCCUUCCCCUUCGGGGGACAAAGUGACAGGUGGUGCAUGGUUGUCGUCAGCUCGUGUCGUGAGAUGUUGGGUUAAGUCCCGCAACGAGCGCAACCCUUAAGCUUAGUUGCCAUCAUUAAGUUGGGCACUCUAAGUUGACUGCCGGUGACAAACCGGAGGAAGGUGGGGAUGACGUCAAAUCAUCAUGCCCCUUAUGAUUUGGGCUACACACGUGCUACAAUGGACAAUACAAAGGGCAGCGAAACCGCGAGGUCAAGCAAAUCCCAUAAAGUUGUUCUCAGUUCGGAUUGUAGUCUGCAACUCGACUACAUGAAGCUGGAAUCGCUAGUAAUCGUAGAUCAGCAUGCUACGGUGAAUACGUUCCCGGGUCU
rnacentral:rRNA from 1 species